GCGGACGUAGUGCACGGUGCACCACUGCAUUCAAUUAUUAUGGAGAAAUUUGAAUUGCAAGCAGUUGAGGGGUUCGACUCCCCGCGUCCGCC